ACUGCUCAGUAACACGUGGACAACCUACCCAAGAGUCAGGGAUAACCCCGGGAAACUGGGGAUAAUACCUGAUAGGCCACGACAUCUGGAAUGAGUCGUGGUUUAAACGUAAGGCUCUUGGAUGGGUCUGCGGCGGAUUAGGUUGUUGCCGGUGUAACGUACCAGCAAGCCUGUAAUCCGUACGGGUUGUGGGAGCAAGAGCCCGGAGAUGGAUUCUGAGACACGAAUCCAGGCCCUACGGGGCGCAGCAGGCGCGAAAACUCUACAAUGCAGGCAACUGCGAUAGGGGAACAUCGAGUGGCACCCACCAUGGGUGUCUGUCCAGCCGUCUAAAAAACGGCUGUUAGCAAGGGCCGGGCAAGACCGGUGCCAGCCGCCGCGGUAAUACCGGCGGCUCGAGUGGUGGCCGAUAUUAUUGAGUCUAAAGGGUCCGUAGCCGGCUUUGCAAGUCCCCUGGGAAAUCCAGCGGCUUAACCGUUGGGCUUCCAUGGGAUACUACAUUGCUUGGGACUGGGAGAGGUAGGAGGUACUCAGGGGGUAGGGGUGAAAUCCUGUAAUCCUCUGGGGACCACCGGUAGCGAAGGCGUCCUACCAGAACAGGUCCGACGGUGAGGGACGAAAGCUAGGGGCACGAACCGGAUUAGAUACCCGGGUAGUCCUAGCCGUAAACGAUGCUCGCUAGGUGUCACGGCAGUCGUGAAUUGUCGUGGUGCCGUAGGGAAGCCGUGAAGCGAGCCACUUGGGAAGUACGACCGCAAGGUUGAAACUUAAAGGAAUUGGCGGGGGAGCAC
rnacentral:rRNA from 1 species